rnacentral:rRNA from 1 species
UACGUAGGGUGCGAGCGUUGUCCGGAAUUAUUGGGCGUAAAGAGCUUGUAGGUGGUUUGUCGCGUCUGCUGUGAAAACCCGAGGCUCAACCUCGGACUUGCAGUGGGUACGGGCAGACUAGAGUGUGGUAGGGGAGACUGGAAUUCCUGGUGUAGCGGUGGAAUGCGCAGAUAUCAGGAGGAACACCUGUGGCGAAGGCGGCCCCCCUGGGCCGGCCCUGACACUGGAGACGCGAAGGCGUGGGGAGCGAACGGG